rnacentral:rRNA from 1 species
UACGUAGGGGGCUAGCGUUGUCCGGAAUCAUUGGGCGUAAAGAGCGUGUAGGCGGCGCGGUAAGUCCGCUGUGAAAGUCCAGGGCUCAACCCUGGAAUGCCGGUGGAAACUGUCGAGCUAGAGUCCGGAAGAGGCGAGUGGAAUUCCUGGUGUAGCGGUGAAAUGCGCAGAUAUCGGGAGGAACACCAAUGGCGAAGGCAGCUCGCUGGGACGGUACUGACGCUGAGGCGCGAAAGCGUGGGGAGCAAACAGG